rnacentral:rRNA from 1 species
CCUACGGGAGGCAGCAGUAAGGAAUCUUGCGCAAUGGGCGAAAGCCUGACGCAGCGACGCCGCGUGGGCGAUGAAGGCCUUCGGGUUGUAAAGCCCUUUUCUGGGGGACGAGGAAGGACGGUACCCCAGGAAUAAGUCACGGCUAACUACGUGCCAGCAGCCGCGGUAAAACGUAGGUGGCAAGCGUUAUCCGGAAUCACUGGGCGUAAAGGGCGUCUAGGCGGACGGGUAAGUCGUGCGUGAAAGCUUCCGGCUCAACCGGGAGAGGUCGUACGAUACUGCCUGUCUGGAGGGUCGGAGAGGGACGUGGAAUUCCCGGUGUAGCGGUGAAAUGCGUAGAUAUCAGGAGGAACACCGGUGGUGAAGACGGCUCCCUGGACCGUGACUGACGCUGAGGCACGAAAGCGUGGGGAGCAAACAGGAUUAGAUACCCUUGUAGU